GCGCUUGUGGCUCAAUUGGAUAGAGCAUCAGACUUCGGAUCUGAGGGUUAGAGGUUCGAGUCCUCUCAGGCGUACCA
rnacentral:tRNA from 4 species